GUGCUCACUUUGGCAGCACAUAUACUAUAACUGGAACCAUACAGAGACAAUUAGCACGGCCCCUGCGCAAGGAUGGCAUGCAAAUACGUGAAGCAUUCCAUAUUAAA